rnacentral:rRNA from 1 species
UAGUCCACGCCCUAAACGAUGAAUGUUAGUCGUCGGGUAGCUAGUCUAUUCGGUGAUGCAGCUAACGCAUUAAACAUUCCGCCUGGGGAGUACGGUCGCAAGAUUAAAACUCAAAGGAAUAGACGGGGACCCGCACAAGUGGUGGAGCAUGUGGUUUAAUUCGAAGAUACGCGAAGAACCUUACCUAGCCUUGACAUAUAUUAGAACACUUUAGAGAUAGAGUGGUGCCUUCGGGAGCUUUUAUACAGGUGCUGCACGGCUGUCGUCAGCUCGUGUCGUGAGAUGUUUGGUUAAGUCCAGCAACGAGCGCAACCCCUGUGAAUAGUUGCCAGCGCGUAAUGGCGGGGACUCUAUUCAGACUGCCGGUAUCAAACCGGAGGAAGGUGGGGACGACGUCAGGUCAGUAUGGCCCUUACGCCUAGGGCUGCACACGUACUACAAUGCCCAGUAUAAUGAGAACCGAGACCGCGAGGUGGAGGAAAUCUGCAAAACUGGCCCAGUUCGG